AGAGUUUGAUCCUGGCUCAGGACGAACGCUGGCGGCGUGCUUAACACAUGCAAGUCGAGCGGAAAGGCCCUUUCGGGGGUACUCGAGCGGCGAACGGGUGAGUAACACGUGAGUAACCUGCCCCAGUCUUUGGGAUAACCCUCGGAAACGGGGGCUAAUACCGGAUAUUCAUUCUUGCCGGCAUCGGUGGGGGUGGAAAG
rnacentral:rRNA from 1 species